GGGAUGGUAGAUCAGUCUGGAAGGUCGCCACCUUCGCAAGGCGGAGGCCGCGGGUUCAAAUCCCGCCCAGUCCA
rnacentral:tRNA from 2 species